ensembl:lncRNA
AACAAGGAGAAUGAGGAAUGGACUGAAAAAGAAUUUCCUGGAAACUCCAGCAAAAUCCAGCUGAACAAUCUCCAGUACGAUGCUGACUAUCAAAUGGAAGUUUAUGCAGUAAACCACAAUGGCUCCUCCAGCAGUGCCAAAAUUAACUUCACUGUCCCACAACCUGUCAGUCAGCCAGCGUUAGGGAAAGGAGGUGUGGUGGGAAUUGUAAUGUUCAUCUUCUUGAUACUGAUGGUGUCAGUAGAUGCUUUCUGUUGCUACACCAACCACUGUGGCCUGCUUAAUUUCCUCGCUCACAAACUAUUUGGACACAACAUCUCAGAGUCUAAAGGGGUGGAUGAAGAGGCCAAUAAUUCCUCUGGAGACGUGAAGCUGAGCGGGCUAACACUACCACGAGGCAGCAUCCCAAAGCUUCAGUCAGCCAGUGGGGCAGUGAAUGGCGUUCAUUCAGAGGUCACGUGUGACAAAGCACCCCUUACCAAAUUCGAGUAGGUGCCAACCUCAAAGGGAUGAAUGCAGCUGGGCAUCAAAGCUGUCAUUCAUAAAAUAUGGCAUUGGGCUUUAUGUUACGUGACCAGGUUUAAAGGAAUAGUUCACCCCAAAAUGACCAGUUUGUCAUCAUUUAUUCCUUAAACUUUUCAAACUGCAUGACAUUCAUGGGUAUACUGCCUAUAUAUAUAUAUAUACACACACACACACACACACACACACACCAACUACCAAUAGGAGGUUUCCGGCUGACAGCAAUAAUUUAUUUCAAUAUUGUGGUUUAUCACACCUGAGUUAAAUUUCUCUAGCCACACCCAGGCCUAAUUACUGCCACAUCUGUUCACAAUCAAGAAAUCUCUUAAAUAGGACCUGCCUAUGAAGUAGACCAAAAGAUCCUCAAAAGUUUGACAUCAUGCUGAGAUCCAAAGAAAUUCAGAAACAACUGAGAAAGAAAGUAAUUGAGAUCUAUCAGUCUGGAAAAAGUUAUAAAGCCAUCUCUAAAGCUUUGGGACUUCAGCGAACCACAAGUGAGAGUCAUUUUUCACAAAUGGAAAAAAACAUGGAACAGUGCAGAACCUUCCCAGGAGUGGCUGGCUGACCAAAAUUAUCCCAAUAGCACAGCGACGACUCAUCCAAGAGGUCACAAAAGACCCCGCAACAACAUCCAAAGAACUGCAGGCCUCACUUGCCUCAGUUAAGGUUGGUGUUCAUGACUCCACCAUAAGAAAGAUUCUGGGCAAAAAUGGUCUGCAUGGCAGAUUUCCAAGACGAAAACCGCUGCUGAGCAAAAAGAACAUAAAGGCUUGUCUCAGUUUUGCCAGAAAACAUCUUGAUGAUCCCCAAGAUUUAUGGGAAAUACUCUAUGGACUGAAGAGACAAAAGUUGAACUUUUUGGAAGGUGUGUGUCCCAUUACAUCUGGCGUAAAAGUAACACCACUCUACAGCUCUUUGGUGCUAUGAAACGUGGCUCAACCAAUAGCAUGAGUUGUGGGGCGGGAUCAUCUGUUUGUCUUACCAAUGACAGAUGGGGGAGUGUUUGAGAAAAAUAUUUUAUAAAAUAUAAAACAUCAUAAAUUACAUAAUUUUUAUUUAACUGAUGCCAUCUGGAACAAACAUACAAACAUCAUAAAGGACGACUGUUAUUUCCAGGAAAACGUUCAAGUCCUGUGUGAUUUAGAUUAUACUUGUUAAAUUGUGAUUGAACUACAUGGAAAUGUAGGAGUAUUAUGAGAAUUAUGAGUGUGAUGCAGCACUGUAAAUACUGUACAUGACAAAUGCUGCUUGAGCUGAAUGUAUGUUCAGUAGUGAGCAAAUAAAAGCAGGAUGCAGCUAAGUAGAAUAUGAUGU